UUCACCGGUACAAUCUGAUUCAAGAGGAAGGAGAAUGAAUGAGUGACUGUGCUUCCCUGAGCACAAUAUUUUAAAAGAAACAGCUUUAAAGCCAGACUGGGAGCCCCUUAUCCCCACAGCUAAGCACUCACACAAGCAGUCCCAGUGAAAUGAAUGGGAUUAUCUAUGAGAAUAACUGCUCACUGUGUGAGUAACAGGUCAAAACUUGACCCUAAAAAUAGUUCUAGACGGGCUUGUGUUUAAACCUAUGGAAAUUGGGAAAUGAAUGGACAUCUGCAUCCUGCUCUGCUACAUCACCUCAUUAAAUAAUAAAUCCACAACCGUACGCACCUUAUGCCAUAUUCCAUUGGACAGAAAGUGCUGACUCAGACUCCAGAAUCUGUCAGUGUUUCCAGGGGACACAGCCACUAUCAACUGCAAAGCCAGGAGUCCUAUGGCCAAAUUGUUUUGACUCAGACUCCAGAAUCCCUGUCAGUGUCGCCUGGACAGAGAGUCACCAUCAACUGCAAAGCCAGUACCAGCAUUAGCAACUACUUAGGCUGGUACCAACAGAAAUCAGGACAAGCACCUAAGCUCCUUAUCUAUGAUUCUACCAACCGUGUCUCUGGGAUCCCGGACCGGUUCAGCGGCAGUGGGUCUGGCACUGAUUUCACUCUCACAAUCAGCAGCGUUGAAGCUGAAGAUGCUGGAGAUUAUUACUGUCAGCAACGCCAGAGCUACCCUCUCACAGUGAUACAGACCGUUACAAAAACCUCCCUGUAAACGGAGAGAGCUGAUGCUUAUCAUUUGUUACAGCUGCGACCAGAAGGGUGAAUUUUAUGAUUUCAUGCAAAUAAAACACAGGAAGUAACUCAAAUUACACCUGACACUUUUAAAGCAGCAACGAUGCCAAAGUCAUCAACAAACAAAAUGCAGGGCUAAGUUCACCCUCCACUGAAGCCCAGCUCCACGGGGGUGGAAGGAGUAGCACCAGGUAUUUGAAUCCAAAGUUCACUGUAGGCCAUUAGAACUUCCAGGAGUAGUUUCACUAGGCCACAUUUAUAUUCUUCCACAACACUGGUACUAAUCCUGAGCCCUGUUAUUGCAAAACUUGCCUUGGGAUGUCUGAAGACCCCAAGUGAUCCUGGCUCUAGUUUGGUAUCUCAUCCAAAAGACCAGCCCCUGCAGUGUAGCUCCCUCAUAACACAGUAGAUUGUGGAUUCAGUACAGACCCAGAGGGAUGAGUGCCUCCUAAUAAACCAUCAGCACCAUUUCCAUUUUCCCAGACAGUCUCCCAUUCAGUUACUUACCAGACCCAUCCCUGGUCCAGCUAGGACAGCACAUGGUACUAGAACCUGUAUCUGCAUGGCCAGAGCAGGGAGCUCAGCACAGCCAGCGAUGCGGGAGAGGAACCACUUCAACCAGGACAGGUUGUUCGAGGAGUCAAAGCCGGACAGAUCCGUAAAGCCAGGACUUGGUUACAGCUGUGUGAACAAAGUUCACCUGGGUUACAAUCAGCUAUAAACCAUCAAUCAUUUUCACAAACAAAAACUGAGUCUCACACACUCUGAGCAAGAACCUGUUAUUUGAGAGUAACAACUGAACUGUGGUAAGAAAGGGAGUCAAGGCUGGAAUCAUCCCACUUAAUUCUGUGCUGUCGGUCUGGAUAAUUCCUGUCUGUGUUUCUGUACUAGUGGAAGGCCUGAGACUCUGCAGAGCUCUCCUGUGUUGUCUGAAGGGUGUGGUGCAUCCUCUUACAAACCACACCGGCCACAGUGUGUUAGACCCCAUCAGCCUGCACUGAGUGAGGUCAACUUGUAUUUCCAAAGCCACCAUUCAGCCCACCCUCAGCUCUACCCCAUUGAAAACCCUGCAGAAACCAGCUCAGCCCACCCUGAGCACCCACCAGCCCUGCUGCUCCCAUCUCACCCCUCUGAAAAUUCUGGCCUAUGGGAUUCCUAACAGAGCUGGAGCUGUAAUUACCCUCGUCUCUCCUGUACCCUCACCAGCAACCAUCUCCUCAUUAUCUAAAUGCCCAAGGAGGCACGUGACAGCUGCUUAGAGCCAACCAAAGGAAGUCACACAAUAAAGAUCAAAGCCUCUGGCACAAUAUAGGUCAAAUCCAUCCCUGAGUCAACUCUGCUCACUUCAUUGUAGUUACACGAAAGAUGCCUUUAGCCACAUAUGUCUAGCUGAGCUGCUCUUUGCAGAAUAGGGUACCAUGGAGGCAAAGAUGAAGUCAUGAUGAAGGACAAUUGAUUUGGUGCCCCUUACAGGUGUUGAAGCACAUCUGCAGCAACCCAUCCCCACCAUUCCCAUAGGAGGGGGCCCUGCUGCAUCAUCAGCCACAGCACGGUUUGGUUUUGUUGCGGGUUGGUUUGGGGGUAUUUGGGGGUUGGCAGGCAGUAAAUCCCCACCACACUUUCUGUACCCCAGCUGGGAGGGCCUUGCUGAGGAAAGGUAAUCAAGGUGCAGCCAGUCUAUUUGGAUCAAGCCCUUAAACAGGAGCUAGUCUCAUGACAAACAGAGACAGAGAUUUUCUCAUCACAAGCCACAGAAGGGAAUGAUGGCAACAGAAAAACCUCCAUGAUCGUGUUGCUUAGGAAGCAAACAGUAUAAAGAGUGGAGCAGAAAAUCUUUAGCACAAAACAAACAAACAAAUAAAUAAAUCAA